rnacentral:ncRNA from 1 species
UACCUGGUUGAUCCUGCCAGUAGUCAUAUGCUUGUCUCAAAGAUUAAGCCAUGCAAGUCUAAGUACGAGCUCUCGUACAGUGAAACUGCGAAUGGCUCAUUAAAUCAGUUAUGGUUCAUUUGAUCGUACAGUUUACUUGGAUAACUGUGGUAAUUCUAGAGCUAAUACAUGCGAGAAGCGCCGACCUCGCGGGAGGCGUGCAUUUAUCAGACCAAAAACCGGCCGCGUCUUCGGGCGCGUUCGCCUUGGUGACUCUGGAUAACUUUGCGGAUCGCACGGUCUAGCACCGGCGACGGAUCAUUCAAGUGUCUGCCCUAUCAACUUUCGUCGGUACGGUAUUUGCCUACCGAGGUUCUUACGGGUGACGGGGAAUCAGGGUUCGAUUCCGGAGAGGGAUCCUGAGAAACGGCUACCACAUCCAAGGAAGGCAGCAGGCGCGCAAAUUACCCAUUCCCGACGCGGGGAGGUAGUGACGAAAAAUAACAAUGCAGGACUCGUUCGAGGCCCUGUAAUUGGAAUGAGUACACUUUAAAAGCUUUAACGAGUAUCCAUUGGAGGGCAAGUCUGGUGCCAGCAGCCGCGGUAAUUCCAGCUCCAAAAGUAUAUAUUUAAGUUGUUGCGGUUAAAAAGCUCGUAGUUGGAUUUUGGGCGCAGGCGGCCGGUCCGUCGCAAGGCGUGUACUGGACGUCCUGGCCUUCCCUCCGGUUCUCCGCCGGUGCUCUUGACUGAGUGUCGGCGGCGGCCGGAACGUUUACUUUGAAAAAAUUAGAGUGUUCAAAGCAGGCUCUCGAGCCUGGAUAAUGGUGCAUGGAAUAAUGGAAUAGGACCUCGGUUCUAUUUUGUUGGUUUUCGGAGCGCGAGGUAAUGAUUAAGAGGGACAGACGGGGGCAUUCGUACUGUGCCGUUAGAGGUGAAAUUCUUGGAUCGGCGCAAGACGAACGACUGCGAAAGCAUUUGCCAAGAAUGUUUUCUUUAAUCAAGAGCGAAAGUCAGAGGUUCGAAGACGAUCAGAUACCGUCCUAGUUCUGACUAUAAACGAUGCCAACUAGCGAUCGGGGGGCGUUACAUUGACGACCCCUC